AUGGACACAUCUGGGAGGUUCCUUGAGUUUGUCCUACCAGAGACAAACACUCUCAAGUACAACUCGCUGUGCAGAGAUAUGAAUGCAUUGGCAGCAGAAGCAUGCUCAGUUGAUCCAGCUUACAACUUAUUGACAGAUGUAAUGACGCAGCUCUGGCCCAUAGUUGCUUCAAUGAAAAAAGAGCAAAUGUCAAGGGAAGAUGUGGUGCAGCAUCAGCAACCCCCUCAAGCAGGUGCAUCUAAUGCUGAAACUGGAGCAAACCCACAACCAUUAGCACCGCUACAAAAUCCUGCUCGUGUGACGAAGCAAGGUCGACCAACAGAACGAGCAAAAAGAAAAAAGACAUUGUUGGAGCAGCGAGAAGAGGAGCAUAAGAAGAAGCUUCAGAAAGAAGCCAAGAAAGAUAGCAAAAGAACAGCCAAGAAAGAAAGCAAGAAAGAAGACAACGUGCAGUCGUCGAGCAAGCCAAAACCUAGGAGGAAAGUUACUAGUUCAUUUUGCAGUGAAGAAGAACACACUAUCAAAACAUGUGAGUCACUCCGUGGGUACAAGGCAAUGAUGGCGGCUAAUCUUACAACAAAAUGUCAGUUUUGCUCCGAGGAAGGCCACACAAUGCAAUCAUGCAUUCAUUUUAAAGCUGCGAUGGCAAAAGUCGAGGGACAUGCUCAAUAG
rnacentral:rRNA from 1 species